UCCGCUCUGUCAGAUAUCCUGAUCGAGCUUCAGCCGACAGAUCCGAACUCUCUGGCAAGUCGCGACAAUGGCCACUAUCCUGCUCCACUCUCUGCAGCGGAUUCCGCGUGGCUCCACUACUCUCUAGCAAGUCGCGACAACGGAUACCACUCUACUUUUCAUAGCAAACUCCACGUGGCUCUGAACGACCCCUGACACCACUACUCUCCGUAACAAACUCCGGGC
rnacentral:lncRNA from 1 species